rnacentral:rRNA from 1 species
AUUGAACGCUGGCGGCAGGCCUAACACAUGCAAGUCGAACGAGUGGCGGACGGGUGAGUAAUGUCUGGGAAACUGCCCGAUGGAGGGGGAUAACUACUGGAAACGGUAGCUAAUACCGCAUACCAUCGGAUGUGCCCAGAUGGGAUUAGCGAGUAGGUGGGGUAACGGCUCACCUAGGCGACGAUCCCUAGCUGGUCUGAGAGAAUGAACAGCCACACGUGAACUGGGACACGGGCCAGAAUACUACGGGAGGCAGCAGGGGGGAAGAGUGCACAAUGGGCGCAAGCCUGAUGCAGCCAUGCCGCGUGUAUGAAGAAGGCCUUCGGGUUGUAAAGUACUUUAAGCGAGGAGGCGUUACUCGCAGAAGAAGCACCGGCUAACGCCGUGCCAGCGGCCGCGGUAAUUC